rnacentral:rRNA from 1 species
UACGUAGGGUGCAAGCGUUGCCCGGAAUUAUUGGGCGUAAAGAGCUCGUAGGCGGUCUGUCGCGUCUGCUGUGAAAACUCAGGGCUUAACCCUGAGCUUGCAGUGGGUACGGGCAGACUAGAGUGCGGUAGGGGAGACUGGAAUUCCUGGUGUAGCGGUGAAAUGCGCAGAUAUCAGGAGGAACACCGGUGGCGAAGGCGGGUCUCUGGGCCGUAACUGACGCUGAGGAGCGAAAGCAUGGGGAGCGAACAGG